rnacentral:rRNA from 1 species
UACGGGGGGGGCAAGCGUUGUUCGGAAUUACUGGGCGUAAAGGGCGCGUAGGCGGUCUGCUAAGUUGGAUGUGAAAACUCUGGGCUUAACCCAGAGCCUGCAUUCAAUACUGACAGGCUAGAGUUCUGGAGGGGAUAGCGGAAUUCAUGGUGUAGCAGUGAAAUGCGUAGAGAUCAUGAGGAAGACCAGUGGCGAAGGCGGGUCUCUGGACAGUUCCUGACACUGAGACACGAAGGCCAGGGGAGCAAACGGG